rnacentral:SRP_RNA from 1 species
UGCCGGUUACCUCGCGACGAUAAGUUGGUCAACCCGUCAGACCCGGAAGGGAGCAGCGGAACCUUCGGAUUCGGGCGCCGAGAUUUGGCUGGUACGG